AGAGUUUGAUCCUGGCUCAGAUUGAACGCUGAUGCUUUACACUGCAAGUCGAACGGUAACAGGCCUUCGGGCGCUGACGAGUGGCGAACGGGUGAGUAAAGUAUCGGAACGUACCUUUCAGUGGGGGAUAACGUAGCGAAAGUUACGCUAAUACCGCAUAUUCUCUGAGGAGGAAAGCAGGGGACCUUCGGGCCUUGCGCUGAUUGAGCGGCCGAUAUCAGAUUAGCUAGUUGGUGGGGUAAAGGCCUACCAAGGCGACGAUCUGUAGCGGGUCUGAGAGGAUGAUCCGCCACACUGGAACUGACACGGUCCAGACUCCUACGGGAGGCAGCAGUGGGGAAUUUUGGACAAUGGGCGCAAGCCUGAUCCAGCCAUGCCGCGUGAGUGAAGAAGGCCUUCGGGUUGUAAAGCUCUUUCGGCCGGGAAGAAAUCGCAUCGGUUAAUACCCGGUGUGGAUGACGGUACCGGAAUAAGAAGCACCGGCUAACUACGUGCCAGCAGCCGCGGUAAUACGUAGGGUGCGAGCGUUAAUCGGAAUUACUGGGCGUAAAGCGUGCGCAGGCGGUUUUGUAAGACAGGCGUGAAAUCCCCGGGCUCAACCUGGGAACUGCGCUUGUGACUGCAAGGCUAGAGUAUGGCAGAGGGGGGUGGAAUUCCACGUGUAGCAGUGAAAUGCGUAGAGAUGUGGAGGAACACCGAUGGCGAAGGCAGCCCCCUGGGCCAAUACUGACGCUCAUGCACGAAAGCGUGGGUAGCAAACAGGAUUAGAUACCCUGGUAGCCCACGCCCUAAACGAUGUCAACUAGGUGUUGGGAGGGUAAAACCUUUUAGUACCGGAGCUAACGCGUGAAGUUGACCGCCUGGGGAGUACGGGCCGCAAGGUUAAAACUCAAAGGAAUUGACGGGGACCCGCACAAGCGGUGGAUGAUGUGGAUUAAUUCGAUGCAACGCGAAA
rnacentral:rRNA from 1 species